rnacentral:rRNA from 1 species
GAUGAACGCUGGCGGCGUGCCUAAUACAUGCAAGUCGAGCGAACAGACGAGUAGCUUGCUCCUCUGACGUUAGCGGCGGACGGGUGAGUAACACUUGGAUAACCUACCUAUAAGACUGUGAUAACUUCGGGAAACCGGAGCUAAUACCGGAUAAUAUAUUGAACCGCAUGGUUCAAUAGUGAAAUACGGUUUUGCUGUCACUUAUAGCUGGAUCCGCGCCGCAUUAGCUAGUUGGUAAGGUAACGGCUUACCAAGGCGACGAUGCGUAGCCGACCUGAGAGGGUGAUCGGCCACACUGGAACUGAGAAAGGGUACAGACUCCUACGGGAGGCAGCAGUAGGGAAUCUUCCGCAAUGGGCGAAAGCCUGACGGAGCAAAGCCGCGUGAGGGAUGAAGGUCUUCGGAUCGUAAAACGCUGUUAUUAGGGAAGAACAAAUGUGUAAGUAACUAUGCACGUCUUGACGGUACCUAAUCAGAAAGCCACGGCUAACUACGUG